GUCCCCGUAGCUCAACCGGAUAGAGCAACAGAUUUCUAAUCUGUAGGCUGGAGGUUCGAUUCCUCUCGGGGACG
rfam:Candidate division WOR-1 bacterium RIFOXYB2_FTLL_37_13 rifoxyb2_full_scaffold_135, whole genome shotgun sequence.